ACUUAUAUAGUUUUGAAAAACGGAGGCUUUUCAAGCCUCAAGCCUAGGUUAAACCCCUAGUACAAGUA
rnacentral:tRNA from 1 species